UACAGAGAGUGCGAGCGUUAAUCGGAAUUACUGGGCGUAAAGCGCAUGUAGGUGGAUAUUUAAGUCGGAUGUGAAAGCCCUGGGCUUAACCUAGGAACUGCAUCCGAUACUGAAUGUCUAGAGUAUGGUAGAGGGAAGUGGAAUUUCCGGUGUAGCGGUGAAAUGCGUAGAUAUCGGAAAGAACACCAGUGGCGAAGGCGUCUUCCUGGACCAAUACUGACACUGAGGUGCGAAAGCGUGGGGAGCAAACAGG
rnacentral:rRNA from 1 species